rnacentral:sRNA from 1 species
CAUAUUGAACGAUUCGAAGAGUUAUUAUUAUAAUUAUAUUUUUUAAAAAUAUUCCCAAAAAAUACUAACUUCAAUUUUGUUCAUAUAACAAAUGUAUAUACGGUGGCUUUUUAAAUUCAACAUUUUAGAAAUGUCAAUCCAUAUAUAUCACAGAGAA